AUUGAACGCUGGCGGCAGGCCUAACACAUGCAAGUCGAGCGGAACGGCGAACGGGUGAGUAAUGCCUAGGAAUCUGCCGGGUGGUGGGGGAUAAUGUCAGGUAACGGGCGCUAACACAGCAUACUAUCAAACGCGGCUAGGCCGGAUUAGGUAGUUGGUGGGGUAAAGGCUUACCAAGGCGACGAACCGUAACUGGUCUGAGAGGAUGAUCAGUCACACUGGAACUGAGACACGGUCCAGACUCUUACGGGAGGCAGCAGUGGGGAAUAUUGGACAAUGGGCGAAAGUCUGCGGCAGCCAUGCCGCGUGUGGGAAGAAGGUAUUCGGUUUGUAAAGCACUUUUAGUUGGGAGGCGUUAGCAUCAGAAGAAGCCCCGGCUAACGUCGUGCCAGCAGCCGCGGUAAUUC
rnacentral:rRNA from 1 species